rnacentral:misc_RNA from 1 species
GUGUGUGUAAUGUUGUUUCCCUUUUUUUUUUUUCAUUUUUAUGGCUGCCGUGUUUAGUGGGUUCUGACACGUGCGGAUUCAGUUCUAACAUUGGUCGGUCUGCCUUAAUACGUGUUGAAGCUUAAUUGGUUGCAGGAAUCCAACUUGUGUCGUGAUUCUCAGAAUCAUAAAAGUUGGUGAGCCGCCCCCCUGUGUAACGUGUGUGUGGUGGCCGGUGGUCAAAUUUGCUCAUGUGGGACACUAUAAAAAACAGUUCUUUCCAAAAAAAAGGGAAACAACAUUACACACAC